UUUUUUUCAGUAUGUCGUUAGCGUUCAUUGGGAACACAACAUAUGUACAUCUCAACAAACACUGCAAACUCCACACAAACUUUUUUUUCAAAAAUUUUGUUUUAUUAAUUUAGUCCUUUUUUGGAUAAACAGUAGGCUGCUUAUCAUUCUUUGCAAUUUUAAAAGAUAACCCAACAACUUGAGCUUGAAUAUCAGCAUGGCUUCUCGACCUAAACGUCCCGCUCCGUCAUAUGUGAUGUGGAUGAACGUCGAAGGACGUCAGCGCAUAAAGAUGGAGCAUCCCAAUUGCACCGUCCCCCAAAUGGGCAAACGUGGGGGCGAGAUCUGGAGGGGGAUGGACGAGAAUGAGAAAGACAAUUGGAAAUCGCAAGCUUGUCUUGCUAUGAUCAACUACAAGAAGAAGUUGGACGGGUGGAAAUGCCGAAAAAACAUUAAGCGUCGUUAAGCAGAAGAUUAGCCGAAGUAAGCUCUCCAAAUUCGUAGUCUCUAUUCAGUUUUCAAAAAGCACACGGGCUCAGCUGAAACAAAAAUUAACUUCCGUGAAGGAUUUAAAUUUUAAAUGUAUUGAGUAUCAUUGAGGUCAAAUCAUAUAUUGAGGUCGAUGGUGCAAUACUAAUGUUUACCUCUCCACUGAAAAAAUUGUAUGGUAUUAUUAAUGAAACCAAGAAAUAUAAAAAAACAGCGUA
rnacentral:sRNA from 1 species